UAGGGAAUCUUCGGCAAUGGGGGCAACCCUGACCGAGCAACGCCGCGUGAGUGAAGAAGGUUUUCGGAUCGUACAGCUCUGUUGUAAGAGAAGAACGUGUGUGAGAGUGGAAAGUUCACACAGUGACGGUAACUUACCAGAAAGGGACGGCUAACUACGUGCCAGCAGCCGCGGUAAUACGUAGGUCCCGAGCGUUGUCCGGAUUUAUUGGGCGUAAAGCGAGCGCAGGCGGUUUAAUAAGUCUGAAGUUAAAGGCAGUGGCUUAACCAUUGUUCGCUUUGGAAACUGUUAAACUUGAGUGCAGAAGGGGAGAGUGGAAUUCCAUGUGUAGCGGUGAAAUGCGUAGAUAUAUGGAGGAACACCGGUGGCGAAAGCGGCUCUCUGGUCUGUAACUGACGCUGAGGCUCGAAAGCGUGGGGAGCAAACAGG
rnacentral:rRNA from 1 species